rnacentral:Y_RNA from 1 species
GGCUGGUCCAAAGGUAGUGCGUUAUCUCAAUUGAUUGUUCACAGUCAGUUACAAAUCAAACUCCUGUUCUACUCUUUCCCCACUUCUCACUAUUACAUUUGAUGAGUCUUAA